CUUACGGGAGGCAGCAGUGGGGAAUAUUGCGCAAGGGGGCAAAGCCUGAUGCAGCUAUGCCGCGUGUAUGAAGAAGGCCUUAGGGUUGUAAAGUACUUUCAGCAGGGAGGAAAGAAAUAAAACUAAUAAUUUUAUUUUGUGACGGUACCCGGAGAAGAAGCCCCGGCUAACUUCGUGCCAGCAGCCGCGGUAAU
rnacentral:rRNA from 1 species